rnacentral:rRNA from 1 species
UCUGCCAUCAGGUCUGGGACAACCACUGGAAACGGUGGCUAAUACCGGAUGUGCCCUUCGGGGUGAAAGGUUAACUGCCUGUUGAUGAGCUCGCGUCUGAUUAGCUAGUUGGUGUGGUAAGAGCGCACCAAGGCGACGAUCAGUAGCUGGUCUGAGAGGACGAUCAGCCACACUGGGACUGAGACACGGCCCAGACUCCUACGGGAGGCAGCAGUGGGGAAUUUUCCGCAAUGGGCGAAAGCCUGACGGAGCAAUACCGCGUGAGGGAGGAAGGCUCUUGGGUCGUAAACCUCUUUUCUCAGGGAAGAACACAAUGACGGUACCUGAGGAAUAAGCAUCGGCUAACUCCGUGCCAGCAGCCGCGGUAAUACGGAGGAUGCAAGCGUUAUCCGGAAUGAUUGGGCGUAAAGCGUCCGCAGGUGGCUAUGUAAGUCUGCUGUUAAAGAGUCUAGCUCAACUAGAUAAGAGCAGUGGAAACUACAAGGCUAGAGUGCGUUCGGGGCAGAGGGAAUUCCUGGUGUAGCGGUGAAAUGCGUAGAGAUCAGGAAGAACACCGGUGGCGAAGGCGCUCUGCUAGGCCGCAACUGACACUGAGGGGCGAAAGC